rnacentral:tRNA from 1 species
GCUCUAGUGGCUUAAAUUAAAGCAUCGGUCUUGUAAUCCGAAGAUUGGGGGUUAAAUUCCCCCCUAGUGCC